rnacentral:lncRNA from 1 species
UCAAGACUUGGAUCUUGUGUAUCAAAGUUUCAAUCUUGUGUGCAAAAGGUAGCAUAAAUUUUUUGAUUUUAAAUCUUGCAACUGAACGUGUGUCUCACACUUCCGAACGAGUCCGUGUCAAACCUAUUCCCAAUAUGCACUCCUAAUAUUUAAGUAAUUUUUUCUUUAUGUUUCUAAUUUUUCUUCUCAAUAAUUGAUACGAUCCGGUCGUCUAUGCGAAAUGUGGCAGAACAUGUAGUGCGGGAUUGGAAUGUAAUUCAAGACAAGAGGAAAAUUCAGACAGAUGGACGCCCAAUUAGAGAGGUUAGGGUUCUACGUAAAUUCAAGGAUUAUGUCACUUAAUUCGAAGAUUAAACAAAUGAGUCUUGGACCGGCCCAAUAAAGCAUAUUUUAUUUUAAGAAGUCAGUUUAUAUUUAAAUGUUAUAAUAACUUUCAGCGGUUACUAACUUUGACCUAUUUAGGCAUUUUAUGUGUGAAUGAAAAUAC